CAGCAGCCGCGGUAAUACGGAGGGUGCAAGCGUUAAUCGGAAUUACUGGGCGUAAAGCGUGCGCAGGCGGUUAUAUAAGACAGAUGUGAAAUCCCCGGGCUCAACCUGGGAACUGCAUUUGUGACUGUAUAGCUAGAGUACGGCAGAGGGGGAUGGAAUUCCGCGUGUAGCAGUGAAAUGCGUAGAUAUGCGGAGGAACACCGAUGGCGAAGGCAAUCCCCUGGGCCUGUACUGACGCUCAUGCACGAAAGCGUGGGGAGCAAACAGGAUUAGAUACCCCGGUAGUCCCUGUCUCUUAUAC
rnacentral:rRNA from 1 species